rnacentral:rRNA from 1 species
UACGUAGGGUGCGAGCGUUGUCCGGAAUUAUUGGGCGUAAAGGGCUCGUAGGCGGUUUGUCGCGUCGGGAGUGAAAACCCAGGGCUUAACCCUGGGCUGGCUUUCGAUACGGGCAGACUGGAGGCAUGCAGGGGAGAACGGAAUUCCUGGUGUAGCGGUGAAAUGCGCAGAUAUCAGGAGGAACACCGGUGGCGAAGGCGGUUCUCUGGGCAUGUCCUGACGCUGAGGAG